CCCUUAGAUGUUCUGGGCCGCACGCGCGUUACAAUGAAUCGUUCAACAGGUUUCUUCCUGAGUCGAAAGGCUUGGGUAAUCCUUUAAAUACGGUUCGUGCUAGGGAUAGAUUUUUGCAAUUAUUAAUCUUGAACGAGGAAUAUUUAGUAAACGCAGGUCAUCGGCCUGCAUUGAUUACGUCCCUGCCCUUUGUACACACCGCCCGUCGCACCAACCGAUUGGAUGUUUUGUUGAAAUAUGUGGAUGCUUGUUGGGUGAAUUCAUUUUUGCUUGAUAGACAGAAACGUAUUAAAACUGAAUAUCUAGAGGAUGGUGAAGUCGUAACA
rnacentral:rRNA from 1 species